rnacentral:misc_RNA from 1 species
GAGCAAGGUGAUCUUCAUAAACGCUGGAAAGUUGUUAGCAGGAGAUUGAGGGACUUCCAUAAGUGUAUUGUUCUUCCUAUUGGUGGCCUAUCCAUGGGACUUUGCAGGCAUCGUGCAAUUCUAUUCAAGAAAUUGGCAGAUUACAUAGGUUUGCCAUGUCGGAUAGCUCGAGGCUGCAAGUAUUGUGCAGCAGAUCACAGGUCUUCUUGCCUUGUCAAAAUUGAGGACGACAGACAGUUGUCAAGGGAAUAUGUGGUUGAUCUAGUUGGGCAGCCAGGAAAUGUCCAUGG